AGAGAGAGAGGGCGUCAGGGUGGCGGGUCACGGACGGACUGGCCCCGGAGCACCUGGGAGGGGCCGCAGGCGCCGGGGUUGCCGGGCGGUAUCUGCAGCCUGCCCCAGGUUCUGGGACAGCACUGUGCCACCAACACCACGGGAGAGAAGGCGCCUGUCUGUUAUGGACGUGGCGCGUGACGGCCUUGCAGAGGUCCCUCCUGGGCUCUGAAAACAGCCCUCCAGCUCUCCCGGUUCCCUCGGCCAGCGCCCAGGAGUCUAAUGAUGCCCAUCCCGGGUACUCCUCUCCAGGCCGGAGCUGUGAGGGCAGCGCAGGGCUGCAGCUGGGAACCAGGAAGCCACGGUGUCCAGCCAACGGCCUUCGGUCCCAAUGUCUCUGCUCCCUUGGAGACUGAACUCUGCUUACCAGGAGACCUUCACGGUACAUCUUAACAAGUUCCAAAUAUUUGGUACAAGUGGACUAAAAUUAAGACCCCCGCUGAGCCUUCCACAGGCCCUGUCAGGACACUGCAGGGUGGGACUGUGCAGAGAACACACCCAGCGUCACGUCACGGCGGAUGGCCUGCCUGUCGGGUCUCCGGAGCAACGUGCCCAGGACCCAGGUUCAUCUGGGAACUGAUCCAGCUCUGCCCGAAGCUGAGGUCGGAGAGGACCAGCCCGACCUCUCCGCGCCUGUCUGAAGAGCGCCCUUACUCACAGCCAGGGACGCUGGGUGAAGACAAGAGGAAGGAACGGUUUGAUGGUCAAUGAUCGUCUCAUCGAGCAUCUGCAGUAACUGGGCCAUGCUGCCAUAAUCCCACAACGCCGUCACUGAGCCCUGCUCUGACCACUGCUGAUCCGGUGUUCUUCAGUUCUGUGCCACCUUUCACAGACUCACUCGCUCUUUGCUCCCUGACUCUGAUGCUGGCAAAGGCAGGAACAGGUCACUUUCCAGGCAUGUAAGCGCUCUAGUUGGGAGGUGUUGGCAGCUCGGAGAAAUUACAUAAUCGGAGAGGCAGUGGCCAGAAGGAAUUGCUACUGGCCGUCGCCACCGGAGCAUCAGAGGGCCCGGCCCGCCGCGCCCGCACCAGGAAGCAUCUCUGGAGCACGGCCGUCUCCGCCCCAGGGCCCGCGUGCGGCAGACGCUCGGCCGCACGGCCGCUCGGCACACUGCGCGCCGAGGCCAGGCUGUCGCUCGCCGGCAAAGCGUCGGCUACAGUCUGCACCGGAAAUACACCCAACUGCUCAUGUUCACCAAGCACCUGCCGACCCAAGCCCCGGGGCUGGGGACGGACCGCAGCCCAGAGCUUCUCCCCCAUCGUCUCUGAUCUUCACUCCGCCUCCGAAGAUGGGGGCUGGGGAACGGGAUCGGAUAAAGGCGACACCGUUCUAGGGGGGACCAGAGUGGAGCCCCGGCCAGUCUGACGGGGGAGCCCCCAGGCCCACACUUCUCAAGGCUCGUGACACCGCAGGGAGCUCACACUCCCAUCACGAGGAACAAAGAAACAUAAAAACUCCCUAAGGGAUAAAGAAGAGUCCUAUAUAACAAUGACAGUGUCACAAACUGGCAAGGUCAUGAUGCAGACCACAAGUGACAUCAGCAUUCGGAAGACAAGGGGGGCAUUCAGCCUUACAGUCAGGUAACCCCGAAAAGACGGCUUUGCCUGAAGCAAAACACUCAAGGCGGUGCCUCUUCGACAUUACCGGUUUUCCCCGAGACCCCGAAGCACGAAAUGGCCCAUGGCGCGCACCCAGCACUUCCCCGCUCGGAAAGCGAGGCCCCGGACCAGACGGGUCCGAGUCCCGAAGCCACUGAGCUGCUGACACAGACCGCGAGGGCGCCGGGCACCAGGCUCCGCUCUGCGCUCUUCACACGCGUCAGCUCCUCUGCGCCGCGGAGCCACCCUGUGCUGUGGCCCGCGUGUGUCGCCGGCACCCGGGUCCGCAGCCUUCGCCCGGCGAGGCCUCAGCCAGUACCCUCUCCCUCUCGUGCCCGAGCUACGUGACCGGGACAAAGGGGGACCGUGGCUUCGCUGGGCCUCCGUCUCUACAAAGUCAGCACCCCGAGUCAGAGCCGCCCCCGCCGGAGGGACCCUGUUUCUCUUCAGCGUCUACGAUGCGGACAGCAAAGCGCGCUGACCAGCAGGUGAACGGGGCGAUGCAGUUGUGCUCAGUGUUCAGGUCACAGUGUGCUGUCCACACUGGUCUCAGUGCAGCGCUCCCUUUCUCAGCCAGCCAGCCAGCCCACGGAACCGAGGUGACAGGGACGAGUUCCUCCACGCAACGUGAGCGCAGAUGGCGCGGCUGCAGACAGACGAGGAGGCGGGAGGAGGCGCUGCGGACGCUGCUGUGGACGCCCAGACCUGCCCCGGCCCCGCUCAGUGGCUCAGUGGCUACGCAGGGGCUUUCCCUUGGCCGGGGUUUCCCAGGCCUCUAGGGACGCAACUCGGAGAGGGGACUCUACUGCGCGGAUCUCUUUUGAAUAGAGUUAGUCAGUCAGCGGGUCUCUCAUGGUUCUCAUUUGUUUGUAAAAUAUGCUCAGACGGGAGCCGCACGAUCAGCUUCAAUAUGGGCAACUGGGCCUUUACUCUUUAUCCCCUUAAAGGAGAAAAGUCACCUGACUGUCGAAGACAGCCAACGCCCUCGGGGACGCGGCCCUAGCGGUCCUGGCCAGCUACACGGCUCCCCGCACCAGCUCCUGCAGACGACCUGCAGCCCCGCCAGGGCCCAGCUCUGCCGUUGCCGGUGCAGCCCUCCUCGCCGCUGCUGGUGGGCGCUGGCUGCGAGACCCGCCGCAGCUUCUGCGACCAGCAGCAGAACGGUGACCCGGCCCGCUCCCGCCAGCGUUCACCGAGGCCUGCCCACCGCGUGCAGCGUGCCGUGCCAGGCACUGCGGACGGUAAAACACGCCCAACAGGCCCCGGCUGCAGGGGGCUGCCGACCUAGGGGUGCAAUGUUUGCUUCGGGGUAGACUAAGCCCGAGAAAGCACAGGUACGUGCUGAGGAGAGUCUGAGAGAGGAGAGAGGCUGCACUUGUUUGACAGACUCGGGAGAUGUGCGUGGAAGACGUGGUAUGAAGUACGGGCCCAGGGAGACUGGCGGGGUUUCGACAAGCAGGGACUACGUGGAAGGGGGCGUCCCGGAGGGAGGGAGGGAGGGGUGGCAAAUGCCCACCAAGGCCGAGGCAAGGGAUGGCGGGGGUCACGGGCACCGUGCGGGAGGGGGGCGAGGGAGAACUCCGGAGAGAAGCGCCCCGGGGCCGCCGCCGCCGCCCUGGCGAGGGGUUUUCACAGCCUUCACAGCCGCCCGGCCCGGGGAGGAAGGGCGUGAGGGCACAAGCCCCGUGACG